GCCGUGGUGUGUGGCAAUCUCGCAGACUUCAAACCCAGAGGCGGAGG
rnacentral:tRNA from 14 species